AAGCCCAAACACCAUUCGUGAAGAAAAGAAGCAAAACGAGUUUGGCAAUUCUCACAACAAGUUGAUUUCUUCUUGGAAGCCAUUUUCGUUUCUCUUUUCUUUCUCUCUCUCUGCAAAAAAAGUAGUGGAUGGCAAAAAACAACAAGUAUGCUUCCAUUAACUUCAACCACAUCUAUGACAAAUCCAUAACAACAACAACCAACAACAACAAUAACAACAACACCAACGCAUCAAAGAACCCUUCCCUUUCAUCUUCUUCUUCCUUCUCAUCCGCUUCAUAUUCAGCAGUUUCCGCUCCCAACAAACAUGGACGUAUUCUCGUUCUAACCCGACCCACACACAAACCCGUUACACCGCCACAACCCAAACCAAACCCGAUCCAACAGGUGGUUCCAGAUCGGCCCCGCUCUGAACCAGGGUCAGAUUUGAUCUCGCUUCGUCCCUUAGGUCGAACCGGAGUCGGUUCGUCUCUAUUGCCGACUCCUGUUUUGAACCACGAGAAAGAGAAGGAUUUGGUUUCUCCGCAGCCUUUGAAAUCUGAUAAGUUUGUUCCGCCGCACCUUCGGCCGGGGUUUGUGCCUAGGGAGGAGCGGCUUGGAGUUGAAUUCGGUCGGUUUAGGGAUAACGGGAGACCUAAGUCUGGUGGACAUGAGAGGAUGAGGAGGGUUGCUGCUUCUGAUACGUCUUUUGGAAAUCGACCAAGUUCCAGUGGAUGAUGAUGAUGAUGAUGAUGAGUGGGGCCAUGGUGGGAGCUACAAGAGAGAUGAGCCAAUCAUCUUCACGAGUACAGGUUAAUUCGAAUGUACCAACUUGCCACUGCCAAUGAAGGAUAAUCGUUUAGAGUACUCUUAUUUGAUUUGGAAAGAUGUUUAAGAACAUUUUAUUUAUGGAGGGAAUUGUAGAAUAGAUACCGGAAGGCAAAUUGUGAUGACAAAUGCUAGAGAUAAUGCAAUAGAAGAUUUGUGGAAGGUUGAUCUGAAUAAGAAGAUUGAUAGUUUGGUAGUCGCCAUGAAGUUAAUGAAAUUUGUUAGUAAGCAAUGUUCUACUUGACACUGAUGUUGUCUACUUGUGUAAAAUGUGUUUUAGUAAUGUGAAUUAUGUUUCUUUAACUAGGUUAUGUUUCUUUCAUUAUUACAUGUGCAUAUAUAGUUUGGAUUAUGGUACA